rnacentral:rRNA from 1 species
CCCUUUCCGCAAGGACCGUCUGACAGGUGCUGCAUGGCUGUCGUCAGCUCGUGUCGUGAGAUGUUCGGUUAAGUCCGGCAACGAGCGCAACCCGUACUGCCUGUUACCAGCGCGUAAUGGCGGGGACUCUGGCAGGACUGCCCGUGUUAAGCGGGAGGAAGGUGCGGAUGACGUCAAGUCAGUAUGGCCCUUACAUCCAGGGCUGCACACGUGCUACAAUGGGUGGUACAGUGGGACGCAAGACCGCGAGGUGGAGCUAAUCCCCAAAACCACCCCCAGUUCAGAUUGUAGGCUGCAACUCGCCUGCAUGAAGAUGGAGUUGCUAGUAACCGCAGGUCAGCAAUACUGCGGUGAAUACGUUCCCGGGUCUU